GCCGCGGUGGCGGAAUUGGCAUUACGCGAGUGACUUAAAAUCACUUGGGAUUAUAUCCCGUGUGGGUUCGAGUCCCACCCGCGGCA
rnacentral:tRNA from 1 species